UUCCCCACAUCCAUACGGAAUACAGGUAACCAUUAUUAUCUUUAAUGAUAUCAUUUUUCCAUUAUAUGGAUGAGCAUAUUUCCCCAAUUUGUUGAUAGACAACUAUCAAUUGUUUCUGUUUUGUUCGAUUUUGCUUGUGUAUCUUUGUUCACUUAUCUACAUAAUUUCCUCAGGGGAAAUUAAUGGAAACAGAAUUGCUGGGACAAAAGGAAUGCAAUAGUAUAAAAUACUAUUUUACAACAUGUUGCCAGGUUGCCAGGUUGGUAGAAAAGUUGUUCUAAUUUACCAUUGAAAAAACCAUUUAAAAUUUUUUUUCACAGUGGUGUGACACUGAAUACAGGAAACUUCAAUUACAGUAGAGGCAGGAGGACAAGGGACACCUGUUAAGCAUCUUGAUUUCAGCUCAGGAAGAAACCUACUUUAUUACCCCAGCAAGCAGGAGGAAGAUUUUUCUCCUUGCUUAACAGCAGACUAGCCAAUGAGAAACUGCCACAACUUAGCCAAUGAGAAACUGUAAUCACCCUUCUCAGUUUCCUCUAAUGGACUUUUAUCCAAAGCUGCCCCUCCCAACUUCCCUUUCCCCUAUAAUGUUCCUUUCCUUUGUUCUCUGGACUAGCCUAUGAUUUUGCUUUGGCUUGCAUGUCCAAAUUGCAAUUCCUCUGCCAUUUCUGAAUAAACCCAUUUUGCUGGUAAA